AGGAUCCAAAAAAUGGUGGAAAAUGAUGGAAAAUGAUCCAAAUUGAUCCAAAAAUGGUGGGGAAAAUGGAGGAAAGUGAUGAAAAAUGGAGGAAAAUGAUCCAAAAUGAUGGAAAGUGGAAGAAAAAUUGGUAGAAAAUGAUCCAAAAUGAUCCAAAAUGGAGGAAAAUGAUCCAAAAAUGAUCGAAAAUGGUGGAAAAUGAUCCAAAUUGAUCAAAAAUGGGGGGAAAUGGUCCAAAAUGAUCCAAAUUGAUCCAAAAAUGGUGGCAAAAAUGGAGGAAAAUGAUCUAAAAUGGAGGAAAUGAUCCAAAAAUGGUGGGGAAAAUGGAGGAAAGUGAUGAAAAAUGGAGAAAAAUGAUCCAAAAUGAUUAAAAAAUGGGAGGAAAAUGAUCCAAAAAUGGAGGGAAGUGAUGAAAAAUGGAGGAAAAUGAUCAAAAUUGAUCCAAAA
rnacentral:lncRNA from 1 species